UACGUAGGGUGCAAGCGUUAAUCGGAAUUACUGGGCGUAAAGCGUGCGCAGGCGGUGAUGUAAGACAGAUGUGAAAUCCCCGGGCUCAACCUGGGAACUGCAUUUGUGACUGCAUCGCUGGAGUGCGGCAGAGGGGGAUGGAAUUCCGCGUGUAGCAGUGAAAUGCGUAGAUAUGCGGAGGAACACCGAUGGCGAAGGCAAUCCCCUGGGCCUGCACUGACGCUCAUGUGCGAAAGCGUGGGGAGCAAACAGG
rnacentral:rRNA from 1 species